AUUAAUACUACGGAAUUGGCUUUGAGCGGAGUGGAUACGCUUUGGGUCUGGAGAUAACGUGAAAGCGAUUGAUCCGACGUAACUCAAUCUACAAAGUUUGGUUUUGUGGUUUACUAAUUCUACACCUGAAUCAGGGAGUCCCUUCCAUAAUUUAACGAAUGCCUCGACCGGCAAGUUUCCGACUCGCUGUCUCGCAGCGGAUGGUUACGGUAGAUUAGAUUGACAUGUUCCUAGCUUUCUCAGUGCUAUGUUACAUUCGGCAUCGAAGACAUGGUUUAUGUGGCGUAGACUGAUUCGACUUCAGAGUGCAGCCGCGGACUUGGAUAAAUCGAUAACUGCUUCGAUAGUAAUCGAUUGGGGCAAAGUACCGUCGGGCCAAGAAUUAUUGACGUCGAUAUUUACCUCAAUGGGACUGCUAUUAUCGGCGAAACGAUACACGGGCCAAACCAACAGGUCCCAGAAUCCGAGGGUAUAUUGGUUGUUGCAUUAUUCAAUGUAUCGUAGCCACAUUGGACCACUGGAAAUUAGGAUCGUGAUCCCUUAAUGGGAACCAAGAAAAAAAAGUGCAGAGAGAACGAAGAAAUAGGGAGAAUAUACCUCAGCCACUGUAAGCGUAGCAGGAGGAGCAAAUUUAAUUAUCAUUCACAG